rnacentral:rRNA from 1 species
AAGGCGAAAAAACCCAAGAAAAAGAAACAGGGAGAGCACACGAAAAAGAAAAAGACAAAAGACAAAACACCAAAGAAAAAAAAACAAAAAGAAAAAGCACAAAAAAGAAAAACAACGUACAAGACACGCCGUUUUUUCUGAUUUGUUCUUCUUUGUUCGAUUGUGAUUUUUUUUUUCCUUUUUUUGUUUUUUUGUUGUUUCGGAAUUCGGACUAGUUCAGUCAUUUUUAUUUUUUAUUUUUUUAUUUCUUUUUUUGUUUUCGUUUUUGUUUGUUUGCGGAUGUGAGGACUAGUGGGCGGGGUUGUAUGGAGGGGUGAUGUGGGGGGGUGGGGUUGGUUUGAGUGUUUGGCUUUUUGCUUUUACA